rnacentral:piRNA from 1 species
UAGCUUUGAGCAUCGCUGUCUACUCGUCCUU